AACGAACGCUGGCGGCGCGUCUUAAGCAUGCAAGUCGAACGGCAAGAGAGGAGCUUGCUUCUCUCCUAGAGUGGCGGACUGGUGAGGAACACGUGGGUAAUCUACCCUUAAGAUGGGGAUAGCUGCUAGAAAUAGCAGGUAAUACCGAAUACACUCGGCAUAUCACAAGAGGUGUUGAGGAAAGGAAGCUACGGCUUCGCUUGAGGAUGAGCUUGCGUCCCAUUAGCUAGUCGGUGAGGUAAAGGCCCACCAAGGCGACGAUGGGUAUCCGGCCUGAGAGGGUGAACGGACACAUUGGGACUGAGAUACGGCCCAAACUCCUACGGGAGGCAGCAGCUAAGAAUAUUCCGCAAUGGACGGAAGUCUGACGGAGCGACGCCGCGUGGAUGAAGAAGGCUGAAAAGUUGUAAAAUCCUUUUGUUGAUGAAGAAUAAGGGUGAGAGGGAAUGCUCAUCUGAUGACGGUAAUCGACGAAUAAGCCCCGGCUAAUUACGUG
rnacentral:rRNA from 1 species